UAGUAGUCAUACAUACAAGAAUAUGACUACCACUCCUUUUAUAAAAAAAAAUUAGAAAAAAAAAAAAAACAGACCUGGCAGACAGCCCGCCAGCCGGUCACACAGCACGACCGCCCGGCUGCCUGCCAGACAGCCCGCCCGCCUUCAUUCCAUUCUCAAAAAUGACAAGUAAGUAAUAUUUACGUGGAUCUGUGAUCUUGUGUAAAGUUCAAAUAUAAUUUUUAUUUUUUUCUAUAUUCAUAUCUUCUUCAAGUGAGGCCGGGAGCUCUCCUCCUCGACAACAUCGCUGGCAUGAUAUGUCAUCGUCUGUGGAGGAGAUGCAUCCUGGCCAAGAAAAGUCUACAGAAGAGGAAAUCAGGGGUGGAGGACAGCAAACGCCAUCUCGUCCCGUUGCCUCUCAGAGAGGUCUUCGAGCCUCUGUCAGAGGAAGUCAGGGUCGUGUGAGUAUUUUUAAUCAAAGUCUUUGUAAUUUAAAAAGUUUCAAACAUUAUGUUAAUAUUUUUUUUUAGGGUUCCCGAGUCUCCACCAGAAUCAAUAAGGAGGACAUUGGCAGUUUUUUUAUCGACAAUGACCUCCUCAUCCAGUUGGAGGAGCGUCCACCGUUGUGGGACCACACUGACCGCCACCACACAGACCACCAAGCAACCCGGCACCUCUGGCUCAAAAUACGUGAGGCAAUUGUGCCAAAUUGGGAGGACCUUGGAGACAGACAACAGGAUCAGUGCCGGUCGACAAUCAUGGUUUGCUUGCGGUCCUUAAGGGACUGCUACAAGAAAGACUUUAUUAAGGAACUCCGGCGUCCGAGUGAUUCAGGAGGAACCUCAAGAUGGGCAUAUUGCUAUACUGCUGCCUUGGGGUUCCUACGAAGAACCCUAGAGCUGCGAAGAACAUCAAUCAGUACUCGGGCGCCCGAAGUUCCCCAGGAGGCGGUCCCUGAUGAGCCAGCCACCGCGGGUCCCUCUCAUCCAACUCAACAACUGGUCAGGACUUCAAUGUUCCCCUACCCGUGCCCUCUGGCGACGCAACGAUGGCCCGCUUAGCCCCACUAUUUGCGGCCCUCAUGUAUCGCCAGAGGACAGGUAGGAGCCGUCAGGCGGACUAUGAGGAUCUCACAAGGCUCGUUUGUGAGUCCUUGAUGGGAUUCAAAAAUAGAGUUGCCACUUUAAAGGAUAAUUUGUGGCGUCUUCAGGAGGGGGUGGUGUUGACGUCGCAAAUGAGUCUGGUGCAUCACUAUUUGAUAUUGGUACUCCCCGUGAUGGAACUGUUCACGCCCGACCAACUGUUUGAGGCCAGAAGACAAGUGGACUGCGUCUUGUGUAGGGCUGCAGCUAACUAUUAUUUGAAUAAUCGAUUAGUUGUCGAUAAUUUCAUUGAUUAAUUGGGAAAAAACACCAAAAUGACAAA